rnacentral:rRNA from 1 species
CGUAGGGGGCAAGCGUUGUCCGGAAUUAUUGGGCGCAAAGGGCGCGUAGGCGGGUAUUUAAGUCUGGUGUGAAAGAUCAGGGCUCAACCCUGAGAGUGCAUCGGAAACUGGGUAUCUUGAGGACAGGAGAGGAAAGUGGAAUUCCACGUGUAGCGGUGAAAUGCGUAGAUAUGUGGAGGAACACCAGUGGCGAAGGCGACUUUCUGGACUGUAACUGACGCUGAGGCGCGAAAGCGUGGGGAGCAAACAGGAUUAGAUACCCUGGUAGUCCACGCCGUAAACGAUGAGUGCUAGGUGUAGAGGGUAUCGACCCCUUCUGCGCCGCAGUUAACACAAUAAGCACUCCGCCUGGGGAGUACGGCCGCAAGGUUG